AAUCUUUGGGUUUGGGCUUCUGAGAGGAAAGGUGCCGUCGUCUCUAGAGGAGGACAUCAAGCGGAUAGUGACGGACUCUCUCAACUGGAGCGGCAAUGGCGAUUCGAGCAUUUUCAAGAUCAAAAAUCCCAAUUUUCUCUGCAAAAAUCCUGCAAAGCCUAAUCAAAUCACCUAUUAAAGAGUCUACAAAGUUCCAAUUUCCAGUUCUAGAAGUGGCUUCGAACAAACCCCUCUUUGGUUUGAAGCAUUACCACGACGGAAGGCCGAGAGGACCCCUUUGGAGAGGGAAGAAACUGAUCGGGAAAGAAGCUCUCUUUGUGAUAUUGGGUUUGAAAAGAUUCAAAGACGAUGAAGAGAAGCUUCGCAAGUUCAUUAAGUCACAUGUGUUGAGGCUCCUGAAGAUGGAUAUGAUUGCUGUGCUCACUGAGCUUGAGCGCCAAGAGGAGGUUACACUGGCUGUUGAGGUGUUUAGAGUGUUUCAAAAGCAAGACUGGUAUAAGCCUGAUGUCUAUUUGUAUAAGGACUUGAUUAUUGCAUUAGCAAAAUGCAAAAAAAUGGACAAUGCGAUGCAAUUGUGGGAAAGUAUGAGAAAGGAGGAUUUGUUCCCUGAUUAUCAAACAUACACAGAAGUCAUUCGGGGGUUCUUGAGACAUGGGUCACCUGCAGAUGCUAUGAACAUAUAUGAAGACAUGAAGAAGUCUCCAGAUCCACCAGAGGAGUUGCCAUUCAGGAUAUUGUUGAAGGGACUUCUGCCACAUCCCCUUUUGAGAAAUAGAGUCAAGCAAGACUUUGAGGAGAUAUUUCCUGAUCGGCAUGUUUAUGAUCCUCCAGAAGAGAUAUUUGGCAUACACUAAGGCUGCUAAGGCAUUAAUUAACCUAGAAGUAUGAGAUUGUGGGCUGGUAUAGUGGAGUAAUCCUUGAUUCAACUGGCCCUUAUAGAUAUUCAGUCUGAAAUGGCCCUUGGACACCUCAAUAGCUGACAAUGGAUUGUGUGAGGAACUACUUCACCCGAACCUAAUCCACUGAUAGUGAGAAGGAGUUCCAUCUAAGCAGAUUCAUCAAAGAAUAGUAACGUCUUCCUGAAGAAUGUUUCAAAGAAUUGCUCACAUCAAUUGAAGGGCAAGAUUGGACAGAGAAUGUGAAGGAGAAGGGUUUAUUGUUCUACAAGUGGAAACAGGAGCAUGGAAAUUCCACCACAAAAGGGCUCAUAUCUCACUUAGCUUCAGUAGUUGGAGCUUCUCUGAGUAUAAAGUCUGAUGUAUUGCAAGAAGUUUUCCUUUUUCGAGAGAGAAAGAAAUGCUCUACAUUUUUCCAUAAAAAUGUGAACCAUUUUGAGAGAGAGAGAGAGAGAGAGGAAUGCUCUACAUUCAUCUUGCAUGCAUUUUCAUACUGAAAAUAAAUUUUGUUAACAAUGAAUAAUAAUCAUAUUAUUCUCUUUUA